CCUACGGGAGGCAGCAGUGAGGAAUAUUGGUCAAUGGGCGGAAGCCUGAACCAGCCAAGUAGCGUGCGGGAUGAAGGCCCUACGGGUCGUAAACCGCUUUUGCACGGGGAUAACACCCUCCACUUGUGGAGGUCUGCAGGUACCGUGCGAAUAAGGGCCGGCUAAUUCCGUGCCAGCAGCCGCGGUAAUACGGAAGGCCCGAGCGUUAUCCGGAUUCAUUGGGCUUAAAGGGAGCGUAGGCGGGCGUUCAAGUCAGCUGUAAAAUCGCGCGGCUCAACCGCGCCCCGCAGUUGAAACUGGACGCAUUGAUGUCACAACAGGCAGGCGGAAUUCGUGGUGUAGCGGUGAAAUGCAUAGAUAUCACGAGGAACCCCGAUUGCGAAGGCAGCCUGCCGGGGUGCGACUGACGCUGAGGCUCGAAGGUGCGGGUAUCAAACAGGAUUAGAUACCCCUGUAGUC
rnacentral:rRNA from 1 species